rnacentral:lncRNA from 1 species
UAAACAACAUAUUCAGGAAGAUGGUUAAGACAUUAACGACUAAAAAAUAACAUCACCACGAGACAGUAAGCUUCAACCCAUCGAACUGACAGAUGGGAGAUUGACGAUUAAUCGAAAGGUUAGAAUACAAAUAGCGAUGCAACAAACAAAUGCACCGAUAAUCAUUACAAGUAAAUCUUAUAACCAUCGAAGCCAUCUGCAGUAGGUGACUCCAGGCAUUCUAUGAUUGAUAACGGUGCUAACGAACAAUGAAAAGAAAUAUCAAAAUUAAUAGAACGAGGAGUUUACCUAUUUCGGAGCAAAAAACGGGACUCGAACCUAUAAUGAAAGCUCGACCACCGCUACUGGAAGGUUCCCGGAGAGAGGUUUCUUCAUUCGCACCCAGACAACUUAGAAAGGGUUCUUUUAGAACACCAAAUUUCACUCCCCAAUUUUUGAGACUCUGAUUUUUGCCUCUUCUGAUUUUCCCAACCCUAGACCCCUAGGUUCCCAGUGAAGAAUCCAAAAGAAAAAAUAUUCCCAAAAGAAAAAAAAAUCCUCCUGGGAGCAGUGACCAAGGGGUCUAUUUAUAGGAAACCAAUUAGGAGGGGUCUGUUUGGAAUUUUUCUGGAAAACAUCUUUUGAAAUUCCAUUCCUGAAGCCCAUUUUUCCACCCCAGAAUUGGGGGAAAAUGAAUUCUCCCCCAUAUCCAAUUAAAAUCUACAAAGUAUGUACGAAAUCAUACCGUCGUUACCAAAAUUUAAGGAAUUUAUCCGUUAAGGGGACACCUACGCGUCUUCUAGAGGAUUCUUGGACUGAUUUUGCAUCAAAAUCAUGCUAAUCAUAUGAGGAUUUUAUGAACUCGAGUAAAGGUGAGGGCAUUUGGACGAGAACAAACUAGUUGGGGUUUGGGUCACCAUUGAAAUGGUUUGAUUUGGCGACUGGAUCGUUCAUUAAUUUUUGGUUUUUGAAUAUAUGGUGUUCUUGUGGAGAAGAGGGGAUAAGGAGGAUAUUUGAUGUGGUCCAGGUCAGUAUAUAUUUGGGCCUGGGAAAUUAGGAGCAAUAGUUGGCUGAUUAGUAAAGGAAAAAUGUGUAUUGGGCUUAUGAUGAAAUUUGGCUGGUAGGAAUUGUUGUGAUUGCUGUUGUAUGGGUUGGGCUUUGUUUAAAAAGGUUUGGGUUAGUGGGGGCUGGUUUUGUAUGGGUUAAAUUGGGAUGAAGGGUUUUGAGAAUUUGGGUUAAAAUUUUGGAUUGAAAUUUAGGGAAUUACUUUAAAUUCUAACCAAUUUGAAUAUGAAUUGAUCAAUUGUAUCAAAUUGGGGUCAAUUUGAUUUCAAUUAGAGUCAAAUUUAAUAAAUUGACUAAAUCAAAUCAAAAUUUGAUACGAAUUAACACCUUAUUUAAUAUUGUGCUUCUUGAUUAGAUAAAAUUAAACCAAUAUUUAUCCAAAUAAAUUAUUUUUUAUAGAAAAUUAUAUUUAAAUCAAUAUUUCAACUGUUUGAACUUAUUCUCAAAAUAAUCCUUGAUUAAAAUUUGGUAUUCCGUAAAAUAACAAUUUAAGUAACAAAAUUACGUAAUUUCAUAUAAUUGAAAACGAUAAUGUAUAAUUGUUACUCAAAAUGAAAAAUUUGCACAAAUGAAUAUUUUUUGAAAAGUUUCUAUUCAGACGAAAUAAAUAUUUUGAUUUUAUUAAAAACCGAAGAAGCUCAAAAGUAAACUUGGUUGUGGAGGGGCAAAAUUAGGUGUCAACAACUGCCCCCUACCUUUGGGUAGGAUGGAUUGAAGUAAUCCUGGGUAAAGGGAGGUUGACAUUCCUCAUUUUUGUCCGACCACAAAUUCGUAUCUAAGAGAGGUUGGUUUUCCGCACGAGUUUCAUGGAGUUAUGGCCGAACCUCGGUAUCAGAUUUUCUACAUAUCUCAGGUUUCAUGAGAAUUUAGGCCACUUGUAGUUCAUAAAACUUGAUUUUGAGCAUGAUUUAAAAAAAAUCACAAAUUAUCUUGAUUUUUGAGUUUUUGAUAAAACCAAGAAACUGGGGAAUAAAGGGAUUAGGAGAGAGGUUGGAAUGCAGUCGAGUUUUAUACAUAGAUCCCAGCCUACAUAUCCCUAAGACUCAGGGAAUCAGACUGCUUGUAGUUCGACUCAAUCGAUAGAAAAGAUAGUCUUUUAUUUCAGACGAUCUUUGGCUCAGGAUGAGUGACAAGUUGAUCGAGUUUCGAAAAAGAGUCCUGUAACCUCUUAACCAUGAAUGUGGGAUCCUUCACACUCAUAGACAAGAAUUUACCUAGACAUAAUGUCCAAAACUCUAAGUGUGUUGCCACCCGAAUUUGAAAGAAAAAGAAGGUCACCCUCAUUAUGAGUGAAGAAAAUAUCUCGGAGGUGAAGCUAAAACCAGAAUAUUCUAAAAUACCCACAUGCCUUCUAAAAAGGGUGUGGUUAGAUGGUGGUGGUGAUCAUCCUUUAGCUCGCGUCUAGAGAGUUUGAUGUCCCUCUCUAGAGUAUGUCCUAUUUUACUGCUAAGAAAGAAUUCCAUGUUGUACUGCGUCCUUUUUGGAGUCAUCCGCACCUGUGGUUUUAAUUUGAGAUUUUCAUCCUCUCAGAUGCUCUCGACAAUAUCUCAAACAAAAAUUAUUAGGGAUAAACAUAACUCACGAAUGAGGUAUAUAGUGUUUUACCAUAUCUCCACAUGAGUUAUUGUCUAACGAAGUCAUCUUUUCUUGUACCUGUUUGAUAGGAAAUAAGUCACAAUAACAGACACAACAACCUCCUUGGUUGUUGUAUAAUUAUGACAUUUGUCGGUUGAAUAUGUCUUCAAAGUGGGGUGACCCUUUUGGACACAGGUGAGACUUUAUGUAGAACGGUCCCUACAACCGUGUAAUCUUGUGCUGCUGUGUCAACCCUUUUGGUUUCCUAUAUCACUUAUUGUAUGUGGAAAGAUAACCUCUCCAAUUAUAGACGAUAUAGAUUUAUAAAUUUUCCUUAAAUUAUCAAUCUUUUGAUAAUCUUGCGCAUUAUUUGAUAUUGGAUACGGGGCGACUUACAGAUAUAUUUUGAAUUUCUAACUUUUAGGUAAUCCUACACAUCAUCCGACUUUGGAUAAGAGAUGACUUACAGAUAUCCCUCCAAUCGCUAGUUUUCAGGUGUUCCUGCACAUCAUUUUACCUUGGAUACAAUAUGACUUAUAUAUAAUCCCUCAAAUUGAUCUUCUUUGGGUAAUCCUGCACAUAAUCAAUCUUGGAUAUGACACGGCUUAUAGAGAACCCUUGGACGUAUCAAUUUGACAAUCUUGCAUAUCCUCCGGUAAGGAUUUAGUUGCGACUUAUGAUAACCUUUGAACUAUAAACUUUUGGGCGAUCUUGCACACUAUCCGGUUAGGAUGUUAUUAUGGCUUACGGAUAACCUACAGACUAUCAACUCAUAGGUGAUCUUGCACACUAUCCUAUUUCAAAUAAUAUGACUUAUAGAUGACCUUCAAAUUGUCAAUUUUUAGGAAAUCUUAUAUAUCAUUCAUCCUUAGAUAGCGACCUGAAGACGUCCCUUCAAAUCGUGUUCUCUUAAUGUAUUCAGAUGCCGAUUCAUGAAAAGAUGAUGAUAUCCUCAACGCCAGCAUUAUGUCUUAUGUGUCAACAGAUAUAUUCAAUGCUGAUGAUAUCCUCAACGCCAGCAUUGUGUCUAGCAUGUUGACAGAUAUAUUGAAUGCUGCUGAUAGCCUCGACGCCAGCAUUGUGUCUAGCGCAUCAAUAGAUAUUAAAUGCUGUUGAUAUCCUCGACACCAGCGUGGUGUCUAGCGCGCCAACAUAUAUUGUUUGAUGAUGAUAUGUGAUAGCCUUUGUAGUCGUGAUAUGUAAUGGGCUUCUCGGCAAUGAUAUAUAAUGGCCUUCUCGGAAAUGAUAUGCAAUGGCACUCUCGGAAAUGAUAUGCAGUGGCCCUCUUGACAAUGAUAUGAAAUGGCCCUCUCGGCAAUGAUAUGAAAUGGCCCUCUCGGCAAUGGUAUGCAAUGGCCCUCUUGGCGAUGAUAUGCAAUGGCCCUCUCGGCAAUGAUAUGCAAUGGCCCUCUCGGCAAUGAUAUGAAAUGACCCUCUCGGCAAUGAUAUAAAAUAGCCUUUAUGGUAAGAUAUGCAAUAGCCAUUGUAGUGAUGAUAUGCAACAACCAUUAUGGCGAUGAUAUGCAACAACCAUUGUGGCGAUAAUAUGCAAUAGCCAUUGUGGAGAUGAUAUACAAUAGCCAUUAUGGCAAUGCUAUGCAACAACCAUUGUGGCGAUGAUAUGAAACAAUCAUUGUGGCAAUGAUAUACAAUAGCCAUUGUGGCAAUGAUAUGCAACAACCAUUGUGGCGAUGAUAUGCAAUAGCCAUUGUGGCAAUGAUAAAAUGAUUUUACCUGGCUUCAUUUGUUAGUGUCCUGCUUUCUACAGGUACCUGUACUCAAGGUAGACUAUUAGUAGACACAAAGUUGCUUUUACUAGAGACAAUUUUUAGGAAAAUUCUAAAUACAAUACGUGUAAAGAAGACAAAGUGCUUUUGUUUGUCGCCUACGAUCUCAAGAAAUGAGAUGGACAAAUCAAAAGGUCCUCAAUAAAUAGGCAUUAAACCUAUUUUUAAGGCUGCCCUAAAAUACCAUUCUUGGGCAUUAAUGAUCUGUUGUGGAUCCUAAUUUGCUCGGAGAUUUUUGAAAGAGACUCUCAUUUUGCGUAUUAAUCCCUGCAUCCACAGAAAAAUGAUUAGUUGAAUGAAAUUACUCCAUGUUGACCUUCUUCGAUCCUUGAUUUGCUCCUUGCCAUCUCUUGGGCAUUCCACCAUAGCGGGACUUCUACCCUGACACUCCAUCCCAAAUGAUGUCUAAGCAAGUACUAAAUAAGUGAGUCGUAAGAUUUUUGAAAAUAAUCUUAAAUUUUUGUAAAUAAUUUUGAAAAAUUCUGUAAAACUUUAAAAAAUCUCUGCCAUUCAUGUCAUGCACCAGCUCAACAAAUGUCUUCCUCGUGGUUUUGACUAUAUUUGGCGGAUGGUUUCUAAAACUCAUGAUCAUUGUUGGAGGAUUUCUUUAAGUAGUUCUGUCAUAGCCAAAAAUUGAGUCUACCUAGUCUUCGUUACCAUUGGUAGCUUCAAAAUCUUGACUUUAACCUCUGGUGCUGGAGAAUUUGAAAUAUGUUCUGGCAUUUGGUGGAAAUUUUGAGGUCUUCCUCAAAAUUUCUGCCCUAGUUUAAGAUUGUUUGAGAUGAUACCAAUCCGAGUGGAUUGAAGUCUUUGCUGAUCUUCAUUCUCUUUGUUGGAUGUCGAUCUUCUCUUGUGAAUUUUUUAGAUUCCUUAUCGAAAAUUCUGCCCCAGUUUAAGGUUGUUUGAGAUGAUACCAAUUUGAGUGGACCUGAAGUCUUUUCUGAUCUUCAUUCUCUUUAUUGGAUGUUGAUCUUCUCUUGUGAAUUUUUGAGAUUCCUUCUCGAAAAUUCUGCCCCAGUUUCCAUUUCCUGGGGUUAUAUGACCGAGCGGUUGGGGCGCCUACGUAUCCCGUUGAAGUAGGAAUAAGGUCAAAUAUAGUUCAGGCCUAUGCUAGGGAUAUUCAAAAGAAAUUGAUGGGUUGAUCAAAGAUUACAUAGGCCGCCUACGUAUCCUUUUUAUUGGGAAUUCAAGUCAUCACGUAGUUCAUACAUAAGAGAAAAGGAUAAGUUAUCCUAAGGGGUUGACUGAAGCCGACAUAGGCCGCCUACGUAUCCCUUUCUUAGGAAUUUAGGUCAAACGUAGUUCGUACAUAAAGGAAAAGGAUUCUAGGCGAUUACACAUCAUAAAAUUGAUACUAUUAUAAAGGCAAUUACAAAUAAGCCAAGAAAUAAAAACUAUAACAUCUUUCAAGCAUGAUAUAUCUUUACCGCAUUAGAAUUGAUUGGUUUGGUCCACUCUUCACCAUCCAUCUUAGGUAGGAUUAGGGCUCCUCCAGGUUGGGCUUCUUUUGAUUUUCAUAUUCCUUUGUAUCUACUACUAACUGCUCCUCAUCACCUUUUCUGUUUAUCAUUAUUUCCUUUAUCUUGUUUGUCUAACCCUUGACAGGACAUGACAUUGGCAGGUUUUUAAAUUAUUGCUACCAAAAUAAACCAUGCUAGAUAAUCAUAUUUAAAAAAUAAAUUCUUAAAUAAAGGGGGCCUUUUGGAAAAAUAAAUAAAAACUAUGGCUUAUAACCCACACAAAUGUGGGCCCAUGCCUUUUUGAAAGUUGUAAAGCACGAAACAAAAUUUUCUGACAUAAAAGGGUGGAUUACGGGGCCUCCGGAUUAGUACUAAUUUUAAAAACUAUUAGUAAUUGCCCUUUCAUCUACUGCGAAGAGCGAUGAAUUAGGAGCAGAGUGGAAGUCCAAUUUUGUAAAGCCUCUCCAUGUGCAACCUUCUUCAUCCCACCGAACUUUGGGAAAUCAUCUGGUAGAGCAUUGUAUUCUUGGAACAGAUCUCCUAUCCUAUCCCCAAGACUAUUAUCAUUUUACAUCUCAUGUAUGGGAAAUGACUGGUACAAGAGCGGCAAAGGACUAAACAGACUCUCCUUUGAAUUAUCUUUGAUCUCAUCUUCCUUUCUUGGUUGGUACUCUAUUCCAUGCUUAAAAGAUUUUUCUGGGACCAUAAUAGGCUUGAUAAUUCCUUUCAAAUUCUUUCUUAAGGUGGCCGCAACUUUCUCUAUCUUUUCCACCUCCUCCGUUCUUCCGAGUCCUUCUGAAUUUACCUUAGCGAUGGCCUUGCUAGACGCCCAUUCACCCUCUAUUUCAACCAUGUUAACUGUAGGCCCCCCAUGGUUAGGCAACAGAUUACUGUUAAUAUUUUGUGUUGACGACUGAAAUGUGAUGACCUUCUGAUCUAUCAAAUCUUGGAUCUUAUGUUUCAAGUUAAUACAAUCCUCGGUACUGUGCCCUAUUGCUCCUGAAUAAUAGGCAUAGUUUUGAUCGGGAUGAUAAAACUGGGAGUUGGGAUCGAUAGGAUUUGGCUGGAUCGGUUGCAAAUAACCAGCUUUCAUCAAUCUUUCGAAGAGCUGGGUAUGACUUUUAGCUAGCAGCGUAAAGUUUUGGGGAGGUUUCUUUUUGAAUUUUAGACGUGGAGGGUUAUAAUGCUUCUGAUUUAUGGGAGGAGGUUCUUGAUGAUAAUUUGGAUAUGUUUGGACGUUUAUUUAGUUAGUUGGAAAAAUAGCUUGAGUAUGAGGCUAAUAAUUUGGCUGUGUAACUUGGCACUGGGGUUGAGCGUAGAAUACAGGCUGAAAACUUGAUGACGAUGAGAAGGAAAGAAUAUUCCUAGGCUUGAAUUUCCUUCUUAACUUAUCAACCGAAUUAGUAAAGACUGCAGUCGUAUCCUCUCUUUGCUUCUUUGAAAAUGCAGAAGAUUCAAAUAAUGUUGGAGUUUUGGCAAUUUUUCCUGUUUGGAUGCCUUCCAAUAAUGAUUCCCCAAUCUUUACUAAAUCUGUGAAAGUUGCUUGAACCGCAGAUACUAUCCUGGUAUAAAAUUCUUUUUCCUAUGCGCGAGAGAAAACAGAUACCAUUUCUUCCUCGGACAUGGGGGGUUGCUCUUUGGUAGCUUCCUUCCUCCAACGAAAGGCAUAGUCUCAAAAACUCUCGUCGCUCUUCUGUUUGAUUCGAUCUAGUGAAUAACGGUUUGGGACUCAUUCAAUGUUGAAUGUGAACCUAUCAAGGAAACCCUUGGCCAAUGCUUUCCAACCAGUCCAUCUUUUUGGCUCCUGAGACAUGAACCACUCUAAGGCUUUACCUCUUAAACCUCGGUUGAAUAGGCGCAUCAAUAAUGCCUCGUUCUUCCCUAUCCCUACCAGUUGCUCACAGUACCUUCGCAGAUGGGUCAUUGGGUUUUUGAUACCGUCAAACAUUUCAAACUUAGGGACUUUGUACCCAUCUGGUAGGUCUACUCCCGGGUGAACACAUAAUUCAUCAUACCCUAAACUGUCGUGGUCCCUAGAUCCAUGAGACUCUUUGAUCCUCGUGAUAUCUUCCUUCAUAUCUAGAAAAUUCCUUUUAUUCUUGGUCCUCCACUCUUUCUCCUUCUCCUCGUAAUGGUCCAUCUCGAGAUUAGGAAGGGGUUCAUAGGUGUCAGGGGAUACAAUGUCCUGAAGGGGAUUUGGAAGGGAGGCUUGAUUUUGUGGAUGAAAGAAAUUUGGUUGGCAAGUGGGAAGGAUGUUUUGUAAAUUGGGAAGGCUCUGCAGACUUUGCGAGUAGUUUAGCAGAAUUUGAGAAGGAUUUUGUGGAUUUGGAAAUGAAUUUGGUGGAUCCAAAGGUAGGUUUGACAUAUUUUGUGGAUUUGGGAGUGAAUCUUGCGGAUUUGGAAAUGUGUUUUGAGGAUUUGGAAAUGGAUUCGAAGACUGGUUCUGUGGGGUUACAGACGGAUUUUGUGGAUGAUAGGCGUCUGGGUUAUUUUUACGAUUAGUAUUUUGGACAAAUGGAGGAGCGGAGAUGGAUGAUAUGUUAUUCGGAUGAUCUCCGAGAAUAGGUGUACUAAGCGGAGAGAUUUGGAGUGGAGUCCCGUGUCCCUCUGGAGCGGGGGCAUUGACGGUGAUGGCCAAGUUAGCCAAAUACCGAGUGCGAUUUACUUUUUCCUGAAGCAUCUCUAACUUUUUUGCAAGUUCCGCAAUCAUCUAAUUCUGUUCCGCUAUCACAUUGUCCCGAAUAGUCUGGGCACUUUCCUCGUCAUUUCCAGUCAUUUUUGAAUGAUGGUCAGGGGAUGAGAUUUUGUGCGCUUUCGAUCGGGUGAAGUGAGGAUGUUCUGCCAGCUUAUAUCAACAUGGAGUAAUUUCUAUUAUCUGUAAAGUAAAACAACUCAAAGGCAGAUGUGUUAGUUUCCGUAUGUGAUAAGUAAUGCAAAAUAUUUGACAGAUAAUAACCAUAUAGAAUUGUUUGAGUCUUAGACAAAUUCAUCCAUAGGAGCAUAGUGGAUAAACUUUCCUUUGAUCCAAAUAAACACCACAAGCACACAAAACAUUAUAAUAAUGUGUAUCUUAACUGGGGUGACCCUUUUUGAGCCAAGGGUUCAGGCUUAACGAUUUUUGAAGAAAGUAUAUGCUUCCCUAAAGUCAAUCCAUUAUCCCCUAACUUAUAUAGACACGAAACAGGCAUAAAUGCAUAUAAACGAUAACAAAAGAGGGAUACAAUCUUUGGGGAAAAAGGGAAAUAACAUGAAAAAGGAUAAGUUCCCGCACAGGGAAAAUAGAAAAACUAGCUACUGGAUGCUUCUUCGUCUACCUUUGCCUUCUUAUAUUUAUCCACUUCUCAUAUUGGUGACAUCCAUCAGCGCUCAAAUUGUUCCUUAGAUGCAACCACCCAAAUCGAUCAAUUUCUUGCUUAACUUGCUUCAAUUCUUGUUACAAAAGUAAGCAAAUCAAGUUUUUUCCCAACCCCCAAAGGAUAAUGGAUUGAAUUAGAAAGGCAUACAUUUUAUUCAACACAUAAAUAUGGUUUGUCUAUAAUUGACUCAGGGUCAAUAGACGUAGGGCAGGUAUUCUAAUGGGCCCAAUAUCCCGCUCGGGUAUUAGGUCGUCCUAGGCUCAUGCCUAAAAUAGGGUUUUGGUUUCAUUCUAUCCUAGGUGUAUAGAGCGGGUUUGAACACGGGUUCUCAAGCAGACAACUUGAGUUUGAAAAUACGAACAAAGUCAGGUGACUCACGUGCUGAUAAGAUGUUCGUAUUUCCAACAUAUUUUGGAAUUAAACAACAAGGGCUGGGACAUCCACGAAACCCCAAAAUAGUUUAUAAGAUGCAGGAAAUGCCAUGAGAUGCGAUAAUUAAACUUUACAUAAUCUAAACACAUAAACACAUAAACACAUAAAUAGUUAAUCAAAGACGAAAUAAAAAAUUUGGUUAGAACCUAUUUAGGUCCCCAGCAGAGUCCCCAUUUCUGUUUUAUGGAAAUUUUGACUUUUGAAAGAGAGUCGCCACUUAAUUUUGAAAAUGAAUUAAGAAACCUUUAUAAAAGUUACUUCGAACAAUUCAAAAUAGGAAAAUCAUUUUAAGUUAGAUAUUCUAGAUAAGUGGUUCCUAUUAACGUUUUAAGAAGGUGUUAGGCACCUAAAGCAUCCGCUAACUUGCGGUUAUCCGAGCUGUUUGAAAAAUCGUCUUUUGAUUAAUUUUGAAAAGAUUAAUUUUGUCGAAAAGUGAUUGAUUAGGAAAUUUAUUUUUCUUUUUCUUUGGAAAAAUCAUUUUUUUAGAAACUUAGUUAGGGAUUCAACUAGGUUCGCAAGAAACAUGUAAACAAGAAGGAAAAGGGAAAGAGGAAAGGGGAGAAGUAGUGAUUUAGGCUUUUAAGCCCAAACCGCCGUCCUUGUCCUAAUCUAGUUUUUGAACUUUUAGCUUGAAUCUUGCUCCACCUGUAUUAAGUACAACUUUGGCUUCGAGGUCCAAAUAAAUAAAUAAGAAAAUUAAUAAAUAAGUAAAGAUGACAAUAAGUAAAUAAAUAAAAUAACAAAUGAGAUUUUGAAUCUUGUAGCAGCUUCCAAUGUGGGACUCUAACCCAUUCUUCUCCUUUUGAUUACUUGCGUUAGUAUUGUACCAUAAGAUUGAUGUAAUCGAUUUUAGAUCCUCUAAAGGAUGGGCCUCCAUGGACCGUUGCGUAAUAUAAGGAAAAAGAGCCAAAUUGGACUCCCAAGGUAGUUCAUUCAAAAAAGAAAAGAAAAAUAAUCAGUAUCUAUCCAAAGGUGUCACGUGACAUAAUGCGGAAGCAAAUGGCCCAAAGUUUCUAGAAUUAAAGCAAACAUUCCAACUACAGCAACGAAGCAACAUGGAAAGGACGGAUAAGAUAAACAACUCUAGCAAUAAGUGAGAGCAACAAGUGAGAGCAAUAUCACUGGAGAAGAGAGCUAUUGGUGAAGACAAGACUAUAAUGACAAAAGUGUACCAAAAUGAUAGAAUUAGAUUAGGAAAAAUUUCACUUUAUCAAACUUAUUAGCUUGCAACCGUGGUUCAACCAAAUUUUGACCUCUUUUUAAUUGAGAAGGGGAAGAUAGGGAGAAGUAAACCAAGCAGAUUACUCAAUCAUAUAAUGAAUUAAAGGGAUAAUCCAUUAAUGAUCUUGAAUCACCACAAAGCAGCACCAAACUAAAACAUGGUAUUUGAUUUUCCACUGAGACUUGAAACAUUAGGAUAUGGGUCGAAAAUAAUUUUUCUUUUAAUUGGUAAAUUAAAGAAAAUUUCAAUCCAAAUUUCGGAUAGGAGAAAAAGUGUGUUGAGGCCGAAGAAACCUUUAACCGUGAAAAGAAAAUUUUGUUCACUUGACAUAAUGUUAAAGAAAGGAACACAAGGUUAAAGGAAGGAAACUUUCAGCUACAGAGGUGUCACUAUGGAUUUUUUUUUCCAGCAACCAAGCAACUCAAACAUCAACUUAUUCGUAGAAGAAUAGUAAAACUAGCAUUGUGACACCAGGAUACAAAGCAAUUAGUCAAGUAGUAGCAAAUUGGACCCUAAUGUUAAAAUAUGAAAUAAUAUUUUGAUGACCUAUUCAAAAUCCACGUUGCAGUAAGUUUGAAGGCUAACUAAACACCCACUAUGAGACGAAAGAACUGAUUUAAUAGUUAAGUGGAUGAAACGAUAAGUCGGAAGAAUAUUAUAUGUAUAAUUUUCACCAAGGAAAAGUUAAUACCAAAACGAUGGUUGAUAUCCACCGAUAGAAAGUGUCGCAGCGACCUAAACAACAUAUUCAGUCAGAUGCUUAAGACAUUAACGACUAAAAAAUAACAUCACCACGAGACAGUAAGCUUCAACCCAUCGAACUGACACAUGGGAGAUUGACGAUUAAUCGAAAGGUUAGAAUACAAAUAGCGAUGCAACAAACAAAUGCACCGAUAAUCAUUACAAGUAAAUCUUAUAACCAUCGAAGCCAUCUGCAGUAGGUGACUCCAGGCAUUCUAUGAUUGAUAACGGUGCUAACGAACAAUGAAAAGAAAUAUCAAAAUUAAUAUGACUAAGAGUUUACCUAUUUCGGAGCAAAAAACGGGACUCGAACCUAUAAUGAAAGCUCGACCACCACUACUGGAAGGUUCCCGAAGAGAGGUUUCUUCAUUCGCACCCAGACAACUUAGAAAGGGUUCUUUUAGAACACCAAAUUUCACUCCCCAAUUUUUGAGACUCUGAUUUUUGCCUCUUCUGAUUUUCCCAACCCUAGACCCCUAGGUUCCCAGUGAAGAAUCCAAAAGAAAAAAAAUCCCCAAAAGAAAAAAAAAAUCCUCCUGGGAACAGUGACCAAGGGGUCUAUUUAUAGGAAACCAAUUAGGAGGGGUCUGUUUGGAAUUUUUCUGGAAAACAUCUUCUGAAAUUCCAUUCCUGAAGCCCAUUUUUCCGCCCCAGAAUUGGGGGAAAAUGAAUUCUCCCCCAUAUCCAAUUAAAAUCUACAAAGUAUGUAUGAAAUCAUACCGUCGUUACCAAAAUUUAAGGAAUUUAUCCGUUAAGGGGACACCUACGCGUCUUCUAGAGGAUUCUUGGACUGAUUUUGCAUCAAAAAUCAUGCUAAUCAUAUGAGGAUUUUAUGAACUCGAGUAAAGGUGAGGGAAUUUUGACGAGAACAAACUGGUUGGGGUUCGGGUCAUCGUUGAAAUGGUUUGAUUUGGCGACUGGAUCGUUCAUUAAUUUUUGGUUUUUGAAUAUAUGGUGUUCUUGUGGAGAAGAGGGGAUAAGGAGGAUAUUUGAUGUGGUCCAGGUCAGUAUAUAUUUGGGCCUGGGAAAUU